rnacentral:misc_RNA from 1 species
UUAGUUUAAUAAAAAAUAUUUUUACUGAAAAUCCGUUGGUUUAUUUUACGGAUUUAUAGUUUUCUUAAAUCAAAAUGAAAGUUUGUGGUCCAAAAUAUGCCCUGUGUGGCCUCAUUUUAUCUACUUGGGGAAUAAUUCAGCUGCUCCUCAUGGGAAUAUUUUUCUAUAUAAAAAGUGUAGCUUUAAUCGAAGAUAUCUCUCUAGAAGGACUGGAAAUUUCAACUCCAGAAGAGUUUUAUACUCACGUUGAUUCAGGAUAUACUCAAAAUGCCUACAAUUGUUGGAUAGCUGCCUGUCUCUACGUUUUUACCUUCCUAUUUUCUGGUCAUCAAUUUUAUGUUAAUUCAAGAACAUCAUUAAGUGUUUAAAAUUUCAUCAUUUAGCUUCUUUGUAAUUAUCAAAUCCUCCUAAUUACCAUGAAAAUAUAAAUUCUUCGUCUAGUGAUACUAUUGAGCAAAAAGAAAAUGAGAAAGUAAAAAGCUGAGUGAGCAAGUUAUUUUAUCAUGUAUAAAAAGUGUUUUUAUCUAUGUAAAUGGUUAUCAUUCUAUUUGAAGAGUCUAUCCAAUUAUUAUUUAUAUAUUUUAACUUGAAAUAAUUUUUAUGAAUUCACUAUAAUUAUUUAUUUGCCAAUUGAUCUGUUAAGUAAAAUGUUAUGCGUUUUAAAUACGAAAAUGCAAAUAAAAAUCAUAAAGAUUUCUUUGAAGCAUUCCAUAUUAUUUGUAAAUUUUA